UGCGUUUUUCGCCCAGGCGGAGCUCGACCGCCGCUUCAAGUCGUGAGGGCGUUUAUCGACCAGUACCGCCAUGCCUACGGCGUCGAGCCGAUCUGCAAGGUGAUGCAGGUCGCGCCG
rfam:Massilia sp. JS1662 GAT20, whole genome shotgun sequence.